UUAAACCGAGAGGAAAACUGAAUCAGCCAAUCAGGUGACAGCAACUGAAACAAACAGCCAGACCAAUCACUAUGAGGAGGAAUUCUUUAAGACUUGAGAGGUGCUAACGAAGUCUCCUAUGAUGUGACGUAGCACUCGUGCAACUGUCUCAACCAAAGAACAUGUGCACAGGCAUCUGCUGGCAACUGUUUAUUAAAAAGGGGUGAGUAGGAAAGUGGAUAAAGUGUUCUUCCUGACAAUCUUAAACCUGAGAAUCCUCACCAGGUAAGGAUUUAACCCGACAUUUUAAGCUUCUCUGUACUUCCAGCGGCUUUAUCCAAUUAAACGAUCCCUCAUCUGAAGGUGCCAAUCAGGCGUGAACCGGCAAACCUCACUGACUCACUCUGGGUUCAUGUGUCUUUUUGAAAGGGCAGAAAUGUUGCUCUGUUCACA